rnacentral:rRNA from 1 species
UUUUUUCUUCCGUAGGACAUGAAAGGGAAGGAUCAUUAGGAAGCCCACCCAGAAAAGGGUACACCUCCCAAAAAUGUGUAUUAUUACGAGAACCCCACGGAGAACUGCCUUCGGGCAUUGUAUGCUCGCCAAAGAACACCAAAACUCUUUUUAUUAAUGUCGUCCGAGUACUAUAUAAUAGUUAAAACUUUCAACAACGGAUCUCUUGGUUCUGGCAUCGAUGAAGAACGCAGCGAAAUGCGAUAAGUAAUGUGAAUUGCAGAAUUCAGUGAAUCAUCGAAUCUUUGAACGCACAUUGCGCCCCUUGGUAUUCCGGGGGGCAUGCCUGUUCGAGCGUCAUUUCAACCCUCAAGCUUAGCUUGGUAUUGAGUCUAUGUCAGUAAUGGCAGGCUCUAAAAUCAGUGGCGGCGCCGCUGGGUCCUGAACGUAGUAAUAUCUCUCGUUACAGGUUCUCGGUGUGCUUCUGCCAAAACCCAAAUUUUUCUAUGGUGACCUCGGAUCAGGAAGCAAGACCCGCUGAACUUAAGCAUAUCAAAAGCGGGGAGGAAAAC